ACCUCGUAACACAGCUGUGGACAGAUGUAAUGGAUAUGAGAAUCAAUAGCGCCUGCUGUAAAGAUCUUGCCUUCGCCUGCUAAUGCUUCAGUGCCUGCACCAACAACCAUGCCAGGAGUAACGCCGUCCAUGACAUCAGGAUUACCCGCUUUACCAAUACCGGCAAUCAAGCCCUUCUUGAUACCAAUAUCGGCCUUGUAGAUACCCGUAUGAUCGAUAAUCAACGCAUUUGUGAUCACCAAAUCAAGCACUUCUGCAUCUAACUUUGCUGUUGCUUGGCCCAUACCCUCGCGU
rfam:Mucor ambiguus DNA, scaffold: scf_mam1_v10118, strain NBRC 6742.